rnacentral:rRNA from 1 species
CAGCCGCCGCGGUAAUACGGAGGGAGCUAGCGUUGUUCGGAAUUACUGGGCGUAAAGCGCACGUAGGCGGCUUUGUAAGUCAGAGGUGAAAGCCUGGAGCUCAACUCCAGAACUGCCUUUGAGACUGCAUCGCUCGAAUCCGGGAGAGGUGAGUGGAAUUCCGAGUGUAGAGGUGAAAUUCGUAGAUAUUCGGAAGGACACCAGUGGCGAAGGCGGCUUACUGGCUCAUACUGGACGCUGAGGUGCGAAAGCGUGGGGAGCAAACAGGAUUAGAUACCCCUGUAGUCCCUGUCUCUUAUAC